rnacentral:lncRNA from 1 species
GUUGCCCUUUAGAUCUGGACAUUACGUAUAGACACAUGUUUAGUAUUGAAGACUGUGUGUUGCCCUUUAGAUCUGAACAUUUUGUAUAGACACAUGUUUAGCAUUGAAGACUCUGUGUUGCUCAUUAGAUCUUGACAUUUUGUAUCGACACAUGUUAAGUAUUGAAGACUGUGUGUUGCCCUUUAGAUCUCAACAUUUUGUAUAGGAACAUUUUAAGCAUUCAAGACUGUUGCCCUUUAGAUCUGAUUAUUUUGUAUAGACACAUGUUUAGCAUUGAAAACUGUGUUGCCCUUUAGAUCUUGACAUUUUGUAAAGGUACAUUUUAAGCAUUGGAGACUGUGUGUUGCUCUUUAGAUCUGGACAUUUUGUAAAGGUACAUUUUAAGCAUUGGAGACUGUGUGUUGCUCUUUAGAUCUAGACAUUUUGUAAAGGUACAUUUUAAGCAUUGGAGACUGUGUGUUGCUCUUUAGAUCUGGACAUUUUGUAUAGGUACAUUUUAAGCAUUGAAGACUGAGUGUUGCUCUUUAGAUCUGGACAUUUUGUAUAGGUACAUUUUAAGCAUUGGAGACUGUGUGUUGCUCUUUAGAUCUGGACAUUUUGUAAAGGUACAUUUUAAGCAUUGAAGACUAAGUGUUGCUCUAUAGAUCUUGACAUUUUUGUAUAGACACAUGUUUAGCAUUAAAGACUGUGCUGCCUUUUAGAUUGGAAGUGCUGUGUAGCAGAAUUACCUCCUCAAAUUUUAAAUCACCUUCAAUGCAAGUUAAAACUAUUGUUGACCAGCUAUUUCACUUGACAAGCAUUGUCCUACAGCAAAACAAAAUCAACAAGAACUUUGUGAUGUAUGACACACCAAGUGGUUAAAAUUGGUGGUCACUAAAUUAUAAGUCUUGUCUACCAAUUGUUAAGUUUUAUUGCCAACAAUUAGGAUUAGGCUCCCUCAUGCUGUUUAUUGUACAUUGUCUCAUUUAUGUUAUCUACAUAUCUACUCCUCUUUCAAUUUACAUGUCUCAUUGACAUAUUCCCAUUGAUUUUUUAAUUCUUUCCAAGACAUUUUGACAAAAUUUUAGUCGUGUAAUAUUUCAUAAGAUAACAUGAACCAGAACAAAAUUUACAUAAAACAGAAUUUUAAUAUGAAAAGAUGCAAGUCUCUGAUAAGAACAAUAAAAUAACAGUACCUAUUUUCUGCACCAGAUUCAAAUUCUAACACAGACACAUGUUCAGGUAAGGGUGCACACACUGAAAUAUUCCACAGA